CAGGGUUAACACCGUAGAGUGUGCCCAGCGGCUGCGGCCUAGAGAGGGCUACGAAGGAAGUUCAGGGGCUCGAUUGUGCGGGGACCUCCUUCCUGUGCCAGAGCGGAUCUCAAUUGCAGCAAGGCACCUUGCAGCAUCCCAUGCCCUGGCGGCGGGGAAAAACAAAGCCAACGGCGGGGAAACCACAAAGAGGAGCAUCAGAGCUGAGUGGCAAGAUCAAGGUUAACUAACACUGGUGUGGUUUCCCGUAUGGAAAGUGCAAACGAAGCAUGCAUUCUGGAAGUAGAGACACAAAAAGUCUAGUCAUGUCCAACUCCGGGGAUUGGUGCUCAUCUCCAUUUCUAAACUGAAGAGCCACUGUUCACCAUAGACACUUCAAAGAUCAUGUGGCCGGCAUGACUGCAUGGAGCGUCGUUACCUUCCUGCCAGAGUGCAGAGGACAUCAGUAUAAAAAUUGAAGAUGAGGAAGAGGAAGAAAAACAACCACCGAGCACAGAAACAGCAAACAAAAGGAUCGACAGAGUUGCAGAAAACCCAUGUGAAAUUUCUCCAAAGAAGAAAGUCAUCG